GAGAAAAAGAAGGAGGUUCUUGCUAUGCCAGAAACCCUUAAAAAGCGAAGGAAUUUCCCAGAGCUGAAGAUCAAAGGCCCGAGAAAGAAAUUUGCCCAAAAGAUGAUUCAAAAGGCAAGGAGGAAGCUUAUCUAUGAAAAAGUGAAGCACUAUCACAAGGAAUAUAGGCAGAUGUACAGAACUGAAAUUCGAAUGGCUAGGAUGGCCAGAAAAGCUGGCAACUUCUAUGUACCUGCAAAACCCAAAUUGCCGUUUGUCAUCAGGAUCAGAGGUAUCAGUGGUGUGAACCCAAAGGUCCGAAAGGUGUUGCAGCUUCUUCGCCUUUGUUAAAUCUUCAGUGGAACCUUUGUGAAGCUCAACAAGGCUUCAAUGAACAUGCUGAGGAUUGUAGAACCAUAUAUGGCAUGGGGGUACCCAAAGCUGAAGUCAGUAAAUGAACUAAUCUACCAGCAUGGUUAUGGCAAAAAUCAAUAAGAAGCAAAUUGCUUUGACAGAUGACACUUUGAUUGCUUUAUCUCUUGGUAAAUAUGGCAUCACCUGCAUGGAGGAUCUGAUUCUUGAGAUCUAUACUGUUGGAAAAUGCUUCAAAGAAGCAAAUAACUUCCUGUAGCCCUUCAAAUUAUCCUCUCCACAAGGUAGAGUAAAGAAAAAGACCACCCAUUUUGUAGAAAGUGGACAUGCUGGCAACAGGGAGAACCGGAUCAACAGACUUAUUAGAAGAAUGAGCUAA
rnacentral:lncRNA from 1 species